AUUUAAAUAGCUUAAGUUAAAGUUUAAUAUUGAAGAUAUUAAGAUAAUUUUUAAUUUUUAAAUA
rnacentral:tRNA from 1 species